CCUACGGGUGGCUGCAGUGGGGAAUAUUGGACAAUGGGCGAAAGCCUGAUCCAGCCAUGCCGCGUGUGUGAAGAAGGCCUUCGGGUUGUAAAGCACUUUCAGUGGGGAAGAAAGCCUUGGGGCUAAUACCCUCGAGGAAGGACAUCACCCACAGAAGAAGCACCGGCUAACUCCGUGCCAGCAGCCGCGGUAAUACGGAGGGUGCGAGCGUUAAUCGGAAUUACUUGGCGUAAAGCGCGCGUAGGCGGUCUGAUAAGCCGGUUGUGAAAGCCCCGGGCUCAACCUGGGAACGGCAUCCGGAACUGUCAGGCUAGAGUGCAGGAGAGGAAGGUAGAAUUCCCGGUGUAGCGGUGAAAUGCGUAGAGAUCGGGAGGAAUACCAGUGGCGAAGGCGGCCUUCUGGACUGACACUGACGCUGAGGUGCGAAAGCGUGGGUAGCAAACAGGAUUAGAUACCCGAGUAGUC
rnacentral:rRNA from 1 species